rnacentral:rRNA from 1 species
UACGUAGGGGGCAAGCGUUGUCCGGAUUUAUUGGGCGUAAAGAGCGUGUAGGCGGUUUGGUAGGUCCGCUGUGAAAACUCGAGGCUCAACCUCGAGACGCCGGUGGAAACCAUCAGGCUAGAGUCCGGAAGAGGAGAGUGGAAUUCCUGGUGUAGCGGUGAAAUGCGCAGAUAUCAGGAAGAACACCCGUGGCUAAGGCGGCUCUCUAGUACGUGACUGACGCUGAGACGCGAAAGCGUGGGGAGCGAACAGG